GUCAAGCUGCCCUUCAUGCUACGACGGAAUGCUGGACCUCAUCUCGCUGCUGUUGCUUCUGAAUGAUCCAAGAAGAUUCCACAGGGACAGGUGGCUCACCGGCUGAGAGCGGACAACCGUCCCUGAGGUCUUCUGCUAAGAUUCUGAGAGUUUAGAUGUGUGAAAUAUCUCAAAGCUGAUGUGUUUAUAAUUCUAUGUAAAUAAAAAAAAAAAUACUUUGUGUUUA